CAUAAACCUUUGCUGCUCACUGACUCAUCGUUCAAAGAAAUAAGGGUUUUUCCAGAAACUUGUCGCAUUCCGCUUAGUUACGAAAGACAAACGAUUAUUCAGUUUUAAUAUAAGUGUCCAAGCAAUUACUUGCGUGUUGAGUAAAAUAUGGCGUCGAAUCAGUCGAGUAUACUGAUAUUGCCUGAUGAUUGUUUUGGUAUCGUACUCAAGUAUUUGGACGGUAGAGAUCAUUUGAGUUUUGGGCAAACUUGCAUGAGGUUUAGAGAAGUCUUAAGGAACUGGUCAAGUGUGCUCUACCCUGAGUUUUGGUUAAUUUGUAAUGAAGAUAAUCAAUGGGAAUUAGAAUUGUUUACUAUUAUCUGCGGUAACAUUAAGAAAUUGAAAGUUUCUAUUAGAGACUGGACGGAUAUCCGAACUAUAGAGCUUUACGAAAAACUUGAAAGCAUGAAUUUGGAAAGCUUUUUUUACGACUCGGUAUUGGAACCCCAGAAGGAACUUUUUGAAGCCCUGCAGCACAUGCAAAAUCUAAAGUGUGUUCGUCUGAUAGAUUAUUAUUAUAGCGAUAUCAUUGUGGAUGGCUUCGGUAAACUAAACUUACUGCAAAAACUUAAAUUGUGUUUCGUCAGAAUCGAAGAUCUUGUUGAAAUAUGCAAAUCACAUGCAAAUAUUGAGGAGCUGGAGUUAGGCGAAAUUUAUUCUUGGAAGGAUAAUUCUCACAAGUUAGCAAGUCUUCCAGAGCUACCCAAAUUGACACAUUUUUCCAUUUCCAAAAUUGAAGGAUUUUCGGCUUCAGAGCUCUUGGAUGCAUUAGUUACUAAUGCAACGCGAUUAGAGUCUUUGCCUUGACUGUGGUCUUGAAGAUAAGAGUUGCAUUGGUCCUUUGACCGAUCUAACUGAACUUGAGCAUCUUACUCUAUUGAUUCAUACUAAUACAACUGUAAAAGAGCAAUAUAUAAAAAUUAUCAUAUCUUGCAAAAAGCUAAAGUCCCUAAAUAUAGAAGGACUCGACCCUAGGGCUCAACUUUGUUUCUAAAGCUAUUGAAGUAUUGCGGACUGUGCGGCAAAUUCAUAAGCAGAAGCCCCUAAAAUUAUAUUGCCGCAGAGUGGACACACCGGUUGAUUACUUGCUCUUGACAGGGCCUUAAUUGUUUCUAUAAAUAUUUAAAGUUUAAGCAUAUAGUAUAUACAUACAUACACGAUGAGCUCAGAUGCCUAGAUCGUUCGACAAAUCAAACUGUAAUUAAGGGGCUCUACAUAAGAUUGGGUACUGAACUUCAUCAUAUGUUAUUAACUUUACUUUUUGAUAAUAAAUGUAUCUGUAAUAUCUGAA